AUUGAACGCUGGCGGCAGGCCUAACACAUGCAAGUCGAACGGUAACAGGAAGAAGCUUGCUUCUUUGCUGACGAGUGGCGGACGGGUGAGUAAUGUCUGGGAAACUGCCUGAUGGAGGGGGAUAACUACUGGAAACGGUAGCUAAUACCGCAUAAUGUCGCAAGACCAAAGAGGGGGACCUUCGGGCCUCUUGCCAUCGGAUGUGCCCAGAUGGGAUUAGCUAGUAGGUGGGGUAACGGCUCACCUAGGCGACGAUCCCUAGCUGGUCUGAGAGGAUGACCAGCCACGCUGGAACUGAGACACGGUCCAGACUCCUACGGGAGGCAGCAGUGGGGAAUAUUGCACAAUGGGCGCAAGCCUGAUGCAGCUAUGCCGCGUGUAUGAAGAAGGCCUUCGGGUUGUAAAGUACUUUCAGCGGGGAGGAAGGGAGUAAAGUUAAUACCUUUGCUCAUUGACGUUACCCGCAGAAGAAGCACCGGCUAACUCCGU
rnacentral:rRNA from 1 species